CGGCGUGCCUAAUACAUGCAAGUCGAGCCUAAGAUGAGAAGCUUGCCUCUCUGAUGUUAGCGGCGGACGGGUGAGUAACACGUGGGUAACCUACCUAUAAGACUGGGAUAACUCCGGGAAACCGGGGCUAAUACCAGAUAAUACAUUGAACCGCAUGGUUCAAUGUUGAAAGACGGUUUCGGCUGUCACUUAUAGAUGGACCCGCGCCGUAUUAGCUAGUUGGUAAGGUAACGGCUUACCAAGGCAACGAUACGUAGCCGACCUGAGAGGGUGAUCGGCCACACUGGAACUGAGACACGGUCCAGACUCCUACGGGAGGCAGCAGUAGGGAAUCUUCCGCAAUGGGCGAAAGCCUGACGGAGCAACGCCGCGUGAGUGAUGAAGGUCUUAGGAUCGUAAAACUCUGUUGUUAGGGAAGAACAAAUUUGUUAGUAACUGAACAAGUCUUGACGGUACCUAACCAGAAAGCCACGGCUAACUACGUGCCAGCAGCCGCGGUAAUACGUAGGUGGCAAGCGUUAUCCGGAAUUAUUGGGCGUAAAGCGCGCGUAGGCGGUUUCUUAAGUCUGAUGUGAAAGCCCACGGCUCAACCGUGGAGGGUCAUUGGAAACUGGGGAACUUGAGUGCAGAAGAGGAGAGUGGAAUUCCAUGUGUAGCGGUGAAAUGCGCAGAGAUAUGGAGGAACACCAGUGGCGAAGGCGGCUCUCUGGUCUGUAACUGACGCUGAUGUGCGAAAGCGUGGGGAUCAAACAGGAUUAGAUACCCUGGUAGUCCACGCCGUAAACGAUGAGUGCUAAGUGUUAGGGGGUUUCCGCCCCUUAGUGCUGCAGCUAACGCAUUAAGCACUCCGCCUGGGGAGUACGACCGCAAGGUUGAAACUCAAAGGAAUUGACGGGGACCCGCACAAGCGGUGGAGCAUGUGGUUUAAUUCGAAGCAACGCGAAGAACCUUACCAAAUCUUGACAUCCUUUGACCGCUCUAGAGAUAGAGUCUUCCCCUUCGGGGGACAAAGUGACAGGUGGUGCAUGGUUGUCGUCAGCUCGUGUCGUGAGAUGUUGGGUUAAGUCCCGCAACGAGCGCAACCCUUAAGCUUAGUUGCCAUCAUUAAGUUGGGCACUCUAGGUUGACUGCCGGUGACAAACCGGAGGAAGGUGGGGAUGACGUCAAAUCAUCAUGCCCCUUAUGAUUUGGGCUACACACGUGCUACAAUGGAUAAUACAAAGGGCAGCGAACCAGCGAGGUCAAGCAAAUCCCAUAAAAUUAUUCUCAGUUCGGAUUGUAGUCUGCAACUCGACUACAUGAAGCUGGAAUCGCUAGUAAUCGUAGAUCAGCAUGCUACGGUGAAUACGUUCCCGGGUCUUGUACACACCGCCCGUCACACCACGAGAGUUUGUAACACCCGAAGCCGGUGGAGUAACCUUUUAUUAGGAGAUAGCCGUCGAAGGUGGGACAGAUGAUUGGGGUG
rnacentral:rRNA from 1 species